rnacentral:rRNA from 1 species
GGACGAACGCUGGCGGCGUGCCUAAUACAUGCAAGUUGAGCGCUGAAGGUUGGUACUUGUACCACCUGGAUGAGCAGCGACCGGGUGAGUAACGCGUGGGGAAUCUGCCUUUGAGCGGGGGACAACAUUUGGAAACGAAUGCUAAUACCGCAUAAAAACUUUAAACACAAGUUUUAAGUUUGAAAGAUGCAAUUGCAUCACUCAAAGAUGAUCCCGCGUUGUAUUAGCUAGUUGGUGAGGUAAAGGCUCACCAAGGCGAUGAUACAUAGCCGACCUGAGAGGGUGAUCGGCCACAUUGGGACUGAGACACGGCCCAAACUCCUACGGGAGGCAGCAGUAGGGAAUCUUCGGCAAUGGACGAAAGUCUGACCGAGCAACGCCGCGUGAGUGAAGAAGGUUUUCGGAUCGUAAAACUCUGUUGGUAGAGAAGAACGUUGGUGAGAGUGGAAAGCUCAUCAAGUGACGGUAACUACCCAGAAAGGGACGGCUAACUACGUG